rnacentral:lncRNA from 1 species
CACCACCGACCCCUGCGCCGUCCCCCGCCGAACCCACUUCACGUGCGGCGUCACCUGCUCACCCGACUCGACCCGGGUCACCCAAAUCACCCUCGACCCCGCCGCCUACUCCGGGACGCUCACCCCGCUCAUUUCUCAGCUCACCAACCUCACCACUCUCGACCUCGCCGAUAACUCCUUCUCCGGCGCCAUCCCAUCCUCCAUUUCCUCUCUCUCCAACCUCCAAACCUUAACUCUCCAAUCCAACUCGUUCUCCGGCUCGCUCCCUCCAGCCAUUUCCAACCUUAAAUCCCUCGAAUCCUUAGACAUUUCCCACAAUUUACUAUCUGGGUUUCUCCC